rnacentral:tRNA from 1 species
GCCGGAGUGGCGGAAUGGUAGACGCAGGGGACUUAAAAUCCCCUUGGGGUAACCCAGUGUGAGUUCGAGUCUCAUCUCCGGUA